rnacentral:misc_RNA from 1 species
GAAAUGCGAUAAGUAAUGUGAAUUGCAGAAUUCCGUGAAUCAUCGAAUCUUUGAACGCACAUUGCGCCCUCUGGCAUUCCGGGGGGCAUGCCUGUCCGAGCGUCAUUACGCACCCUCAAGCCCGGCUUGUGUGAUGGGCCCCGGCGUCUCGUUCGCGAGACGGGCCCGAAAGGCAGCGGCGGCGUCGACCCGAUGAGCCCGAGCGUAUGGGGACUUCUGUCACACGUUCGCGGUGCGGAACGGCGCCUGCUUGACUUUUCUGAUUAUCCAGGUUGACCUCGGAUCAGGUAGGGAUACCCGCUGAACUUAAGC